rnacentral:rRNA from 1 species
GAUGAACGCUGGCGGCGUACCUAACGCAUGCAAGUCGAACGGACAUUCAAGGAGCAAUCUGCGGAUGUUAGUGGCAAACGGGUGAGUAACACGUAGGCAAUCUACCUUGGAGAGGGGAAUAACGAGCCGAAAGGUUCGCUAAUACCGCAUACGGUCGGUCACGAACGCAAGUUCGUGCGACGAAAGGGGCAUCUUCGGAUGCGUCACUCUAAGCGGAGCCUGCGAUCGAUCAGGUAGUUGGUGAGGUAACGGCUCACCAAGCCGCUGACCGAUAGCUGUUCUGAGAGGAAGACCAGCCACACUGGGACUGCGACACGGCCCAGACUCCUACGGGAGCAGCAGCGAGGAAUAUUGCACAAUGGACGCAAGUCUGAUG